AAGUGUUACAGCUCUUUUAGAAUUUGUCUAGUAGGUUUUCUGGUGUUUGCCGGAAAACCCAU
ensembl:snRNA U7 U7 small nuclear RNA